rnacentral:rRNA from 1 species
UACGUAGGGGCUAGCGUUGUCCGGAAUCAUUGGGCGUAAAGCGCGUGUAGGCGGUCCGGUAAGUCCGCUGUGAAAGUCGGGGGCUCAACCCUCGAAUGCCGGUGGAUACUGUCGGGCUAGAGUGCGGAAGAGGCGAGUGGAAUCCUGGUGUAGCGGUGAAAUGCGCAGAUAUCAGGAGGAACACCGGUGGCGAAGGCGGGUCUCUGGGCCGGAUACUGACGCUGGAGGAGCGAAAGCGUGGGAGCGAACAGG